rnacentral:rRNA from 1 species
GUAGGUGGCAGAGUAUGUCUGCAGUGAAAGCGUGUGGCUCAACCAUAUACACAUUACAGAAACUGCUCUGCUAGAGGACGAGAGAGGUUAUUGGAAUUCCUAGUGUAGGAGUGAAAUCCGUAGAUAUUAGGAGGAACACCGAUGGCGUAGGCAGAUAACUGGCUCGUUCCUGACACUAAGGCACGAAAGCGUGGGGAGCAAACGGGAUUAGAUACCCCGGUAGUCCACGCCGUAAACGAUGGAUGCUAGCUGUUAUAGGUAUCGACCCCUGUAGUAGCGAAGCUAACGCGUUAAGCAUCCCGCCUGUGGAGUACGGUCGCAAGACUAAAACAUAAAGGAAUUGACGGGGACCCGCACAAGCGGUGGAGCGUGCUGUUUAAUUCGAUGGUAAACGAAGAACCUUACCCAGGUUUGACAUCCUUGGAAUUUUGCCGAAAGGCGAGAGUGCUUUAUUGAGCCAAGUGACAGGUGUUGCAUGGCCGUCGUCAGCUCGUGUCGUGAGAUGUUUGGUUAAGUCCAUCAACGAGCGCAACCCUUGUAGUCUGUUGUAUUUUUCAGGCUAGACUGCCCCGGUAACGGGGAGGAAGGGGGGGAUGAUGUCAGGUCAGUAUUACCCUUACAUCUGGGGCUACAAACACGCUACAAUGGCCGGUACAAAGGGCUGCCAAGUCGCGAGACGGAGCAAAUCCCAUCAAAGCCGGUCCCAGUUCGGAUAGCAGGCUGAAACUCGCCUGCUUGAAGUCGGAAUCGCUAGUAACGGUAGGUCAGCUAUACUACCGUGAAUACGUUCCCGGGUCUUGUACACACCGCCCGUCAAACCAUGAAAGUCACCAAUACCUGACGUGUUGCCUUCGCGCAGCCCUAAGGUAGGGGGGAUGAUUGGGGUU